CAAGGGAGUGGCGGACGGGUGAGUAACACGUGGGUACCUACCCUGUGGUGAGGAAUACCGGCGAGAAAUCGCCGACAAUACUGCAUACGUUUGUAAUGCAAACAAAGCUCGGGCAACCGGGUGCCAUGGGAAGGGCCUGCGGCCGAUUAGCUAGUUGGUGGGGUAAGAGCCUACCAAGGCGACGAUCGGUAGCUGGUCUGAGAGGACGAUCAGCCACACUGGGAUUGAGACACGGACCAGACUCCUACGGGAGGCAGCAGUAAGGAAUAUUGGCCAAUGGACGGAAGUCUGAACCAGCCAUGCCGCGUGCAGGAAGACGGCCCUACGGGUUGUAAACUGCUUUU
rnacentral:rRNA from 1 species